AGGAUGAACGCUGGCGGCGUGCCUAAUACAUGCAAGUCGAGCGGUAAGGCCCCUUCGGGGGUACACGAGCGGCGGACGGCUGAGUAACACGUAGGAACGUACCCCAAAGUGAGGGAUAAGCACCAGAAAUGGUGUCUAAUACCGCAUGUGCUCUUCGGAGGAAAGCUUCGGCGCUUUGGGAACGGCCUGCGCAUGAUUAGCUUGUUGGUGAGGUAAUGGCUCACCAAGGCGACGAUCAUUAGCUGGUCUGAGAGGAUGAUCAGCCAGACUGGGACUGAGACACGGCCCAGACUCCUACGGGAGGCAGCAGUGGGGAAUAUUGGACAAUGGGCGCAAGCCUGAUCCAGCCAUGCCGCGUGGAUGAUGAAGGCCUUAGGGUUGUAAAGUCCUUUUAACGGGGAAGAUAAUGACGGUACCGUAGAAUAAGCCCGGCUAACUUCGUGCCAGCAGCCGC
rnacentral:rRNA from 1 species